AGGUGAAACUGCGGAAAGAUCUUACCGAGUGUAGGGUUCCUAGCGAGCCCAACCUCCCACCCGUGUUUAGAGAAACGUAAUUGCUCUGGCGGGCCCGCCAUUUAUGGCCACCGGGGGCUCUCAGCCCCGGGCCCGCGCCCGCCGGAGACACCACGAACUCUGUCUGAUCUAGUGAAGUCUGAGUUGAUUGUAUCGCAAUCAGUUAAAACUUUCAACAAUGGAUCUCUUGGUUCCGGCAUCGAUGAAGAACGCAGCGAAAUGCGAUAACUAGUGUGAAUUGCAGAAUUCCGUGAAUCAUCGAGUCUUUGAACGCACAUUGCGCCCCCUGGUAUUCCGGGGGGCAUGCCUGUCCGAGCGUCAUUGCUGCCCAUCAAGCACGGCUUGUGUGUUGGGUCGUCGUCCCCUCUCCGGGGGGGACGGGCCCCAAAGGCAGCGGCGGCACCGCGUACGAUCCUCGAGCGUAUGGGGCUUUGUCACCCGCUUCGUCUGCCCGCCGGCGCUUGCCGAACGCAAAUCAAUCUUUUUCCAGGUUGACCUCGGAUCAGGUAGG
rnacentral:rRNA from 1 species